AAGGUUUGACAUGGAGGGCAAAGUUGAAGAAAUUCAACGGAGGUUAUCCCGACACAGGUGGUGCAUGGUUCGUCGUCAGUUCGUGCUGUGAAGCAUAUGCUUAAGUGCUAUAACGAACGCAACCCUCGUAUUUAGUUACUAUCAUUCAGUUGAGAACUCUAAAUAGACUGCUAAGGUAACUUAGAGGAAGGAGAGGAUGACGUCUGAUCAUCGUAUGCCCUUAUAUCGUUGGGU
rnacentral:rRNA from 1 species